rnacentral:rRNA from 1 species
GUGGAUUAGUGGCGAACGGGUGAGUAACACGUGAGUAACCUGCCCUUGACUCUGGAAUAAGCGUUGGAAACGACGUCUAAUACCGGAUACGAGCUUCCGCCGCAUGGUGAGGAGCUGGAAAGAAUUUCGGUCAAGGAUGGACUCGCGGCCUAUCAGGUAGUUGGUGAGGUAAUGGCUCACCAAGCCUACGACGGGUAGCCGGCCUGAGAGGGUGACCGGCCACACUGGAACUGAGACACGGUCCAGACUCCUACGGGAGGCAGCAGUGGGGAAUAUUGCACAAUGGGCGCAAGCCUGAUGCAGCAACGCCGCGUGAGGGACGACGGCCUUCGGGUUGUAAACCUCUUUUAGUAGGGAAGAAGCGAAAGUGACGGUACCUGCAGAAAAAGCACCGGCUAACUACGUGCCAGCAGCCGCGGUAAUACGUAGGGUGCAAGCGUUAUCCGGAAUUAUUGGGCGUAAAGAGCUCGUAGGCGGUUUGUCGCGUCUGCUGUGAAAACUGGGGGCUCAACCCCCAGCCUGCAGUGGGUACGGGCAGACUAGAGUGCGGUAGGGGAGAUUGGAAUUCCUGGUGUAGCGGUGGAAUGCGCAGAUAUCAGGAGGAACACCGAUGGCGAAGGCAGAUCUCUGGGCCGUAACUGACGCUGAG